rnacentral:rRNA from 1 species
UACGAAGGGGGCUAGCGUUGCUCGGAAUCACUGGGCGUAAAGCGCACGUAGGCGGCUCUUUAAGUCAGAGGUGAAAUCCUGGGGCUCAACCCCAGAACUGCCUUUGAUACUGGCUGUCUUGAGUUCGGGAGAGGUGAGUGGAAUGCCGAGUGUAGAGGUGAAAUUCGUAGAUAUUCGGCGGAACACCAGUGGCGAAGGCGACUCACUGGCCCGAUACUGACGCUGAGGCGCGAAAGCGUGGGGAGCAAACAGG